GAUGAACGCUGACAGAAUGCUUAACACAUGCAAGUCUUUGGCGAAGCUGUGCUUGCACAGCCUAGCCAAGGCGGACGGGUGAGUAACGCGCAAGGAACUUGCCCUGCAGUCAGGGAUAACAGACGGAAACGACUGAUAAGACCUGGUAAAGUCAGGCGGACUCAUGUCCAGCCUGAUGAAAAGAGAUGCUGCAGGAGAGCCUUGCGUCCUAUUAGCUUGUUGGUGGGGUAACGGCCCACCAAGGCGAUGAUAGGUAGCCGGCCUGAGAGGGUGGACGGCCACAAGGGGACUGAGAUACGGCCCUUACUCCUACGGGAGGCAGCAGUGGGGAAUAUUGGACAAUGGGGGCAACCCUGAUCCAGCAAUUCUGUGUGCACGAUGAAGGUUUUCGGAUUGUAAAGUGCUUUCAGCAGGGAAGAAAAAAAUGACGGUACCUGCAGAAGAAGCGACGGCUAAAUACGUG
rnacentral:rRNA from 1 species